AGUGAACGCUGGCGGUAGGCCUAACACAUGCAAGUCGAACGGCAGCACAGUAAGAGCUUGCUCUUACGGGUGGCGAGUGGCGGACGAGUGAGGAAUACAUCGGAAUCUACUUUUUCGUGGGGGAUAACGUAGGGAAACUUACGCUAAUACCGCAUACGACCUACGGGUGAAAGCAGGGGAUCUUCGGACCUUGCGCAAUUGAAUGAGCCGAUGUCGGAUUAGCUAGUUGGCGGGGUAAAGGCACACCAAGGCGACGAUCCGUAGCUGGUCUGAGAGGAUGAUCGGCCACACUGGAACUGAGACACGGUCCAGACUCCUACGGGAGGCAGCAGUGGGGAAUAUUGGACAAUGGGCGCAAGCCUGAUCCAGCCAUGCCGCGUGGGUGAAGAAGGUCUUCGGGUUGUAAAGCCCUUUUGUUGGGAAAGAAAAGCAGCAGGUUAAUACCCCGCUGUUCUGACGGUACCCAAAGAAUAAGCACCGGCUAACUUCGUG
rnacentral:rRNA from 1 species